rnacentral:lncRNA from 1 species
AUCGUUCCUUGUCUCCUGCCACCAUCUCCGAAGCAAACACUAGUUCCACCAAUGCUAUCACUUCCAUUAAAAUUUGCCAAAAAUACCUCUUCAACUAAGAUACUGCACAAAAUUAAUUAAACUGAAAUCGAGUCUAGGUCCAGAUUUUCACUGAGAACAAUAAUCACAAAAUUAAUUUGCCAAAAAUACCUCUUCAGAACCUCUCCAUACACGAACUAUCUGCAAUAAGUAGAAUAAUAUUAUGUCCGCAUAUUCCCAAAAGGAAAUUUUACAAAUGGCUUCAAGAACAAAAGGACCAAAAACUUAAUUGAGCACAAUGACACCAGGAAAUUGAGACGAGAGAUGGAGAAGAUAGAGUCAGUAAAUUUGAAAUUGGUGGAGGAAAUUAGGGUUGGGCGUGAAUGGUGCCAGCGAGAACGAGAGAAAGCAAUCAACAGACCCACAAAAUCAUCAAUUCAAAAAUUUAUUCACACCCUACUACAUCAAGUUCACCUUCGAUCGCCCAAAAUACCACGAUUUCCCCCAACUGAAACACGCAAACACAAUGAAGCACCCUAACUAGUAUAAUUCAAUAAGAACAAACCUCAAUAUCCCAUUCUUCACCCUCCGCCCAUUCUUCCGCCGCUGCCGGAGCCGCCUAUCUCGGCUCACCCAUUACCUACAGUAGGGCUCAAAAUCGGAAGGGAAAGGGGAGGAGAAAGCCUCCGGCGUGGAGGCAUCGACAACGCCGAAGAGAAGGGCGCUGCGUUGCCGGAUUUCAGCUCAGGCGGCAGCGAUUCCUGAUUUGGGAAGAAAAUUAGGGCUCCCCUUUUGUCUUCAUCCGUGAUUUUUGAGAGAGAAGAAUGGAUGAUGGGAGGAAGUAGUCGACGAGCGGCCCCUCGACCGAACACGGCCUCGCCGGAGCCGGUGGGAAGGCGGACAGAGAGAGAAUUGCGGUGGUGAGCGUGAUGGAGAAGAUAGAGAGAGGCCAGGUCCGAUCUGGGGAAAAUUUGGUGGGGGGUAGGGUUUUGAUUUUUUAUAAU